rnacentral:rRNA from 1 species
CCCUGAUGCAGCCAUGCCGCGUGUGUGAAGAAGGCCUUACGGGUGUAAAGCACUUUCAGUAGGGAGGAAGGUAGUGUAGUUAACACCUGCAUUAUUUGACGUUACCUACAGAAGAAGCACCGGCUAACUCCGUGCCCAGCAGCCGCGGUAAUACGGAGGGUGCGAGCGUUAAUCGGAAUUACUGGGCGUAAAGCGCAUGCAGGCGGCCUGUUAAGUCAGAUGUGAAAGCCCGGGGCUUAAACCUCGGAAUUGCAUUUUGAAAACUGGCAGGCUAGAGUCUGUAGAGGGGGUAGAAUUUCAGGUGUAGCGGUGAAAAUGCGUAGAGAUCUGAAGGAAUACCAGUGGCGAAGGCGGCCCCCCUGGACAAAGACUGACGCUCAGAUGCGAAAAGCGUGGGGAGCAAACAGGAUUAGAUACCCCUGGUAG